CUAUGUAACAAAUGUAAUCCUCAUAUAUCAAAAACCCAACGUUUUGAACAGUAAUCAAUAGUGAAACAAGCCAUGGGUCAUCCUCAUUGGUUUACAAGGGCGGUGCCUUCACCCCUUCAGUCCAUAUAUAACGCGGUGAGAAAGAGGUAUCGACUGAUGAUGGUGGAGCGGUUAACGGAGGAGCACCGCCGCCCCUUCCGUCCAUCUUGUCUGAUCCACGCCUAUACCGUCUUCGAUCUCCUAAGCGUCUGUUCAGUGAAUACCCGUCGUUGCCGGCGGCCAUUUGAGUCCGAUUCUGGUAGCAACGGCUAUCCCGAUGGAGGCCUAUUGUUGUCGGCGGCCAUUUGAGUCUGUUUCUGGCGGCGACGGUCUUCAGAUUUCUCCAUGGUAAUCUCUUUUUAUCUCCAUUCUUGAGUUUUAUGUUAGAUAUUUUAGUGUAAUCGGGAUUGACUUGGUGAUCAAAGCGAAUAAUAAUACACAUCAAGCAAGUUAGGAGGUGCGGGAGUGCACGCUUGUUUGAGUUAUUAUUAUUCGAGGUGUACGGGCGGAGCCCGUACUCUAGGGGGGUUCCAAGGGGGCAGCGCCCCUGGGAGCAGGGUCCUCAUUAAUAGAGGCAACUGCCAUGAGGCAGUUACAACCCCAAAAACUCAAUUUCGUAGACAGUUUUUGGUCACAAUUUCCUGGUUCAUCAAUUUCACUCAAAAACACAUACUCAGGUUCAAUUCUCGAAAUCAGAGUUGUAUCCGAUUAAAUUAUUCGGGUGAACCACCGAAAUAAUUUGAUCUGAGAGUGAUUACACGCCUCUCUGAUCGUCCGGAAAACCGAAAUUCCCCAACAUUUUAUACUAUUAGAGCUUUUGGUAUAAUGCAUGACUUCUCUAAUUUGAGAACUCUUUGGAUCUGUAAAGCCUAAAGAAUUUCUGGUGUAAAACCCUAAGUCUACUAUGAAUUUCUAGGGGUGGAGUUUAAUUGUUGAUAUCCAGUAAUCUUGAUUAUUGGGUUCUGAAAUAUGAAAUCCGGUGAUCAUGAAGUUGUAAAGGUGGAAUCUUUGCAUGUUAGGAACUUAAAUAUCAAGAUUUAGAAUUGGAACUUUGAUCGUCUUGCUGUUAUGAAACCCUAAUAGGUCGUUGUUCUUGAAUGGGGUCUUUGAUUUGUGUUGUUGUAGUCUUUGUAUCUGAAUGGGGAAUUUGAUUGUACCAUUGUAUUGAAACCGUAAGUUAGUCUUUGUUUUUGCAACCUCCGUUGCAGCCAUUAUCAACCAGUUGAAUUUCACCCGACCUGUUGGAAUUAAGGGUAUAUGGAACUGAAAGCUAUAUUUGGUUGUUGCGUACCGAGUUUGUUUGCUGGCUAUGAUGACUUUGGUAAAAAAAAGUUUAGGUUUGAUGUUGCAUAGCAAGGAUGGCGAGUGCAGUGUUUGCUACUAGCAAUCUGUUAUGCAGCUAUGACAACCUCAAUACCUAUUCUGAGCCUUCUACUACAAGUUAUUAAAAAACCAAAACGAGUUCCAGUUCCAUAAACGACCUCAUUAAAAUGAGUGAAUCAUUUCUGUUUGAAUGGAUCAGUAAAAAUGGAAAGAAGGGUUUCACGUAACUUCAAUGACUGCAACUAGCAGUCGUUGGGGUGUUGUGACGUCAACAAACGCAGGAUUUUUUUACCAGACCGGCUCGGUUUGUAAAGUAGCCGAGGCCAGCUCCGGGGAAGUUCCGCCGACUGCGUUGGCGCGUCAACCCUAUCAAUCGAAAGCCUAGAUCACCGUGAAGCUCAUGGUGACGAUCGUUUAUCUGAUUACAAGGCGGUGGUGGCUCAAUUGAGACCUCAGACAGUCGGCGGCUACGGUUCAUGACUCUAAGGUGAUGACGGAGACGAUGUAGGUUAAGUUUCAGGCGAUCAAUGGUGUCAAACGUUGGUCGUUCAGAACAAAUGGACGGUCGGCGACGGUCAAAACAAGGGAACACAUUUUGGUCACCUAUGGUUUAGGGUUUUCACCGUACCGACGAUUAGGAAGGCGACAUGUUUGUUCUUAGGUUUUGCAUUUUGGUACUGGUGAUGAUAAGUUUUGCCUCCAGAAGAAAAUGAUAGUUUCAUAACCAUGUCGUCGCACACGCAUUUUCUCCAGCAACGCCUCCAGUGACAGGAAAAGCUACAGAUGUUAUGCUACUGGAGAGGUUGCAAAGUAAAGGAAAUGAGCUACUACGGGACCACUAUGUAAAGACCGAGCUUUUCACCGCUGAGCUCAUGGUAUCAGUCAAACCGUUUACCAGUAAAAUGUGCAGGCAGCAGGCGUGAAGAUCGGAAAACCAACUCACUGACUGACCAACCAAGCUCGGUCAUAGCAUACGGAAGACUGAGCACACCGGCUCCAACCAUGGCUAUGACAUUGUGGAAGGUGGAGCACCACCAUGUGGCAUUGCGUGAUCACGUGACUGGAAGCCAUUUGUCAAUGGCUCGGGCCGUUCGGUUCUGUUGUCAACCUUGUUGUCAACCUUGUUGUCAACCUGUCACAAUCAUGAUUUUUCAAAUAUAAGUCAAUAGUUAAUAGUCAUAAUGUUAAUAAGAAACACAAUCAUUAUAAUAAUACAGAUAGUUUAAACUCGAGAUAUCGAGAUGAGCUUUUUAUGUGGUAGCUAUCCAAACGACAAUUGUAAUGGACCUGCGAUGCAUCGUCUACGAGUAAUCUUAUAUGCUCCAUAUUAUUCAACGAAGCGAGUAAUCUUAUAUGCUCCAUAUUAUUCAACGAAGCGAGUAAUCUUAUAUGCUCCAUAUUAUUCAACGAAGCGACCUCCCGUUAAUCCCUGGCGCAACGCGCUGGGUUGAUACCACUAGUUUCCAUUAAAUUAAAAUUUUAAGAUGGCAGACCAACAGUUACGCUUAUUUAUCUAAUUUUUCAUCUUUUUCUCCCAAAAUUGCCGCUGUCGCCUAGAUGAUUCUUCCACAACAGCCCAACAGUCAUGUAAAUUGAAGACGACCAAUUGAAGAUUCUAAUUUGAAACCGUUAUGAGUGUAAUAGGUCCAGGUUUCCGCGGCAGUGAACAAGCAACGGCUUCAAUAGGGAGAUCGGCAAUUGUUACCAACCACUCCGGCUAAAGAAACCUUAUGAUUAAACAUAGUUGUUAUGACAGUAAAUAUCAGAGACGCUGUGAGUGAAUCGCAGUUAAAUCAAGUUCUGAACAUUGAGCUUCACCAGAUCAUGAGACUUCUAUGGUAGAGAUUGUUCAAAAUUUUAAGAAGAAAAUGAUCAAAGGUUCAAAAUUUCGGAUUCCGGUUAGAUUUGGUUUCAAACGACGGUGGUAUGGUGGCUGAUUACGGUGGUUGCC